AUUGAACGCUGGCGGCAGGCCUAGCACAUGCAAGUCGAGCGGAUGAAGGGAGCUUGCUCCUGGAUUCAGCGGCGGACGGGUGAGUAAUGCCUAGGAAUCUGCCUGGUAGUGGGGGAUAACGUCCGGAAACGGGCGCUAAUACCGCAUACGUCCUGAGGGAGAAAGUGGGGGAUCUUCGGACCUCACGCUAUCAGAUGAGCCUAGGUCGGAUUAGCUAGUUGGUGGGGUAAAGGCCUACCAAGGCGACGAUCCGUAACUGGUCUGAGAGGAUGAUCAGUCACACUGGAACUGAGACACGGUCCAGACUCCUAUGGGAGGCAGCAGUGGGGAAUAUUGGACAAUGGGCGAAAGCCUGAUCCAGCCAUGCCGCGUGUGUGAAGAAGGUCUUCGGAUUGUAAAGCACUUUAAGUUGGGAGGAAGGGCAGUAAGUUAAUACCUUGCUGUUUUGACGUUACCAACAGAAUAAGCACCGGCUAACUUCGUG
rnacentral:rRNA from 1 species